GAUGAACGCUGGCGGCGUGCCUAACACAUGCAAGUCGAACGAGGCAAAUAAGAUGAAGUUUUCGGAUGGAUUCUUAUUUACCGAGUGGCGGACGGGUGAGUAACGCGUGGGUAACCUGCCUCAUACAGGGGGAUAACGGUUAGAAAUGACUGCUAAUACCGCAUAAGCGCACAGUACCGCAUGGUACGGUGUGAAAAACUCCGGUGGUAUAAGAUGGACCCGCGUCUGAUUAGCUGGUUGGUGGGGUAACGGCCCACCAAGGCGACGAUCAGUAGCCGGCCUGAGAGGGUGAACGGCCACAUUGGGACUGAGACACGGCCCAG
rnacentral:rRNA from 1 species